rnacentral:tRNA from 1 species
GACUCCGUAGCUCAGAGGUAGAGCAGGCCGAUCCACCUCUUUUUGUCGUGCCACCCUGUUCUGGCGAAUGCCGGCGAAUCUACAUGGGACAGUAAGGUUGCAGGUGCAAAUCCUGCCGGAGCCA